rnacentral:rRNA from 1 species
GACGUAGGGGGCCAGCGUUGUUCGGAAUUACUGGGUGUAAAGGGUCAGUAGGCGGUGCGGCAAGUCGGGAGUGAAAUCUCUGGGCUUAACCCAGAGGCUGCUUCCGAAACUGCUGUGCUUGAGUGUGGGAGAGGCGCGUGGAAUUGCAGGUGUAGCGGUGAAAUGCGUAGAUAUCUGCAGGAACACCCGUGGCGAAAGCGGCGCGCUGGACCACAACGUGACGCUGAAUGACGAAAGCUAGGGGAGCAAACAGG